rnacentral:rRNA from 1 species
AUACGUAGGUGGCGAGCGUUGUCCGGAUUUACUGGGCGUAAAGAGCGCGCAGGCGGUCGACUAAGUCGAGUGUGAAAGCCCCCGGCUCAACUGGGGAGGGUCACUCGGUACUGGUCGACUCGAAGGCAGGAGAGGGAAGUGGAAUUCCCGGUGUAGUGGUGAAAUGCGUAGAUAUCGGGAGGAACACCAGUGGCGAAGGCGACUUCCUGGCCUGUUCUUGACGCUGAGGCGCGAAAGCUAGGGGAGCAAACGGGA